UUGUGGGACCACGCCCCCUUAUGCAGACAGCCAAUCAGGACUUGAGGCACUGGUUUCUCCAUUGUGAAGAAGUGGCCUUUAACGUUUGGAGUCUUGGGAUGCUGGAGUCUUGGUUUUAAACUAGGGGAGGUAUAGUGGGCUUGGCUCUCUGUUUUCAAGACACUCAGGAUCUGUCUUUGUCUGGGUGGAAAGAUCAUGCCCCCAAAACCCGCCCCACCUGCUGCAGGAGGUCCUCCUGCUUCAAAAGGCGCGGCUGCUGCAAAAGGCCCGCCUGCUGCAGGAGGCCCGCCCGCUGCAAGAGUCCCGCCGGCUGCAGGAGGCCCGCCGGCUGCAGGAGGCCCGCCGGCUGCAGGAGCCCCGCCGGCUGCAGGCGCCCCUGAGAAGCCGCCAGAGGAAACACAGACACCUGAAGAACUGGCAUUUUAUGCCCCGAAUUACUUAUGUUUGACCAUCCUGGCCGUAAUUUUGUUCCCUCCCCUGGGAUUAAUAGCUAUAUUCUUCAGUUACAAGACUUCGCAGGCCAACAAGAACAGCGAAUGGGAAGAUGCUUACCUCAACUCAGGCCGAACUGGCUGGCUGGAUGUAUUUGCCAUACUCAUUGGUUUAGGCAUCAUUUAUGUCUAUACCCUAUUUAUGUGAAGGCCAGGCCAAGUAGUCCAUGAGUCCACCUCAAAUAGGACUUACCCACCAAGGCCCUAACCAACCAAAUCAGCCACCAUGCAAGAAACCAACAGCCAAGACAUCUUCUAGCCAGAAAACCUAUUGGCCAAGGAACUCAACAUCCAAGCAACCCACUAGCCCAGGGACAUCAUACUACUUCAUCCUUUUCGCUGCUGGAGCCAUCUUCAUCCACCUUGAGGGUCCUCACUUUCAUGCCCUAUAUGUGCUUAGCUCCAUGAUACUUGGAUGCUCUUUCAGAAAAAAAAAAAUAUUUAAACCAAUAAAAAAUGAAGGGAAUGUUCCAGCUUC